GCCAAUGAUGAAGAUCUUUUUAAUGUAGUUGAUAAUAAACUUGCUUAUGUGUCGAAAUUCAUGAACUAGGUCGGUCUGAGGC